rnacentral:ncRNA from 1 species
CGUCUAGGACGACCUAAAGGCUGACUUCUAAGAUUACCCCGAGGACGACCUUG